GUUUGAUCCUGGCUCAGGACGAACGCUGGCGGCGUGCCUAACACAUGCAAGUCGAACGAGGUCCAUCCGGUAGCAAUACUGGUGAAGAUCAAGUGGCGAACGGGUGAGUAGCACGUGAGCAACCUGCCCCGAAGACUGGGACAACACCGGGAAACCGGUGCUAAUACCGGAUAUCCCCACCGAGUCGCAUGGUUUGGUGAGGAAAUGUUUUUCGCUUUGGGAGGGGCUCGCGGCCUAUCAGCUUGUUGGUGAGGUAACGGCUCACCAAGGCUUCGACGGGUAGCUGGUCUGAGAGGACGAUCAGCCACACUGGGACUGAGACACGGCCCAGACUCCUACGGGAGGCAGCAGUGGGGAAUCUUGCACAAUGGGCGAAAGCCUGAUGCAGCAACGCCGCGUGAGGGACGAAGGCUUUCUGAGUUGUAAACCUCUUUCAGCAGGGACGAUUGUGACGGUACCUGCAGAAGAAGCCCCGGCCAACUACGUGCCAGCAGCCGCGGUAAUACGUAGGGGGCAAGCGUUGUCCGGAUUUAUUGGGCGUAAAGAGCUCGUAGGCGGCUUGGCAAGUCGGAUGUGAAACCUCCAGGCUCAACCUGGAGUCGCCAUUCGAUACUGCCAUGGCUAGAGUUUGGUAGGGGACCACGGAAUUCCUGGUGUAGCGGUGAAAUGCGCAGAUAUCAGGAGGAACACCAGCGGCGAAGGCGGUGGUCUGGGCCAAUACUGACGCUGAGGAGCGAAAGCGUGGGGAGCGAACAGGAUUAGAUACCCUGGUAGUCCACGCCGUAAACGUUGGGCACUAGGUGUGGGGACCUAU
rnacentral:rRNA from 1 species